AGAGUUUGAUACUGGCUCAGGAUGAACGCUGGCGGUCUGCUUAAAACAUGCAAGUCGAACGGAGUGCUUCGGCACUUAGUGGCGGACGGGUGAGUAACGCGUGAGAAUCUGCCUUCAGGAUGGGGACAACGACUGGAAACGGUCGCUAAUACCCGAUGAGCCGAGAGGUAAAAGAAAUUCGCCUGAAGAUGAGCUCGCGUCAGAUUAGCUAGUUGGAGUGGUAACGGCACACCAAGGCGACGAUCUGUAGCUGGUCUGAGAGGAUGACCAGCCACACUGGAACUGAGACACGGUCCAGACUCCUACGGGAGGCAGCAGUGGGGAAUUUUCCGCAAUGGGCGAAAGCCUGACGGAGCGACACCGCGUGAGGGAUGACACUUUUCGGAGCGUAAACCUCUUUUCUGAGGGAAUAAAGUUGUUGAAGGUACCUCAGGAAUAAGCACCGGCUAAUUUCGUGCCAGCCGCCGCGGUAAUUC
rnacentral:rRNA from 1 species